AAGUGCUACGCGGAGGAUUAGAGCAGGCGGUGCGCUGGGGGCGGGAGCAGCGCGGAGCCCGGCUCGGCCACACCGAUCGCCCGCCGCCAUGGGCUCCUCGCAAAGCGUCGAGAUCCCGGGCGGGGGCACCGAGGGCUACCACGUUCUGCGGGUACAAGAAAAUUCCCCAGGACACAGAGCUGGUUUGGAGCCUUUCUUUGAUUUUAUUGUUUCUAUUAAUGGUUCAAGAUUAAAUAAAGACAAUGACACUCUUAAGGAUCUGCUGAAAGCAAACGUUGAAAAGCCUGUAAAGAUGCUUAUCUAUAGCAGCAAAACAUUGGAACUGCGAGAGACCUCAGUCACACCAAGUAACCUGUGGGGCGGCCAGGGCUUAUUGGGAGUGAGCAUUCGUUUCUGCAGCUUUGAUGGGGCAAAUGAAAAUGUUUGGCAUGUGCUGGAGGUGGAAUCAAAUUCUCCUGCAGCACUGGCAGGUCUUAGACCACACAGUGAUUAUAUAAUUGGAGCAGAUACAGUCAUGAAUGAGUCUGAAGAUCUAUUCAGCCUUAUCGAAACACAUGAAGCAAAACCAUUGAAACUGUAUGUGUACAACACAGACACUGAUAACUGUCGAGAAGUGAUUAUUACACCAAAUUCUGCAUGGGGUGGAGAAGGCAGGUGUACCAACAGUACCGUUAUUGCCACCACAAGUAAACCAGUCCCUCACUUCUGUGCCACCAAUGAAUCCAGCUACUACAUUACCAGGUCUGAUGCCUUUACCAGCGGGACUGCCCAACCUCCCCAACCUCAACCUCAACCUCCCAGCACCACACAUCAUGCCAGGGGUUGGCUUACCAGAACUUGUAAACCCAGGUCUGCCACCUCUUCCUUCCAUGCCUCCCCGAAACUUACCUGGCAUUGCACCUCUCCCCCUGCCAUCCGAGUUCCUCCCGUCAUUCCCGUUGGUUCCAGAGA
rnacentral:sRNA from 1 species